AUUUUGUUUGGACAAGUUUCAAAUUUAAGAACUAUUAGAUUUAGGAAACUAUAUGCUAGCAAAUAACCAACCUGUUUGAGAAAUGGGGAGAUUAAUUAAUCGCUAUCACAUGAAACGAGAUCGAAACAAACAUAUAGUGUCUUAACAAAAAGUAAAACAAGCAGAUCCAUGAGCGACUUAUACCUGCAGGAAGAUGAGGUGCAUAAUGACCAAACUAUUUAACACUCCUAAUAAAGUGAUUAAGGUAUUCCUACGACUAUUAACCCAAGAUCAGACAAGAAACAAAAGAAUGUAGAAGAGCAACUCCAAAGACUUACUCACACACUAUCGCAAGUAACAAG
rnacentral:misc_RNA from 1 species